CUGCGGGGAUGAUUCUGACCCUUGAACUCUCUCUUGCUGAUGGGCCAGUGGAGAAAAAUCCUCAAAGUUCUGAGUGGC
ensembl:snoRNA SNORD26 Small nucleolar RNA SNORD26